AUCUGUGUUUGUAUUUAUUUCCUUGUGGGUUUCAAUCUUUGAUUGUUUGCUAAUACAGGUCUUUUAGGUUUAUGAUAUUGAUCUUAAGUGGGUAUUUUGGGUGUCAUUGGCUUCUUAAGUAGGUUUAUGAUAAAGAAAGGAGAUUUGGUUCCAUUUUGGGUAUUUUCAGCUUACACAAGAAACAGAGAUGGGAGUGGGUGAGAGUGACAAACAGACAGAGGUGAAACACGAGAGACCUCAUCAGUGAGAGCAGAGUUGAAAGAACUUUGAGUUUUUCUCACCGAUCCACACUCUAUUUGCUGAAAGAGCAAAGAGGGCUUUGCCUACUUGGAUGGAGAGGGCUUUUCAACUAUUAUACAAAUCAAAGGUCUGGUUUGUGACUUUGGUUUUUCUCUCAACUCAUACCACAGGUAUUUACAUUCUCUAAAUUUAUCUUCUUUAUGAUUUCCUUGAUUUUUUCUCUUCAUUUGCUAAUAUGGGUAUUUUAGAUCUCUUUUCUUCUAAACUUUUAGUUGCUAGGUAUGGAGUUGUGUGUGCGUGGGUUUCUCCUUUCUAAGGUAAGAAUAUAUUGAAAGAGGGAGAGAGAAACAGAUCAUAAAGAAAGGGGAUUUGGUUCCAUUUUUGGUAUUUUAGACUAACACACUAUAGAUAAGUGCUCUCUCUCUCUCUCUCUCUCUCUCUCUCUCUCUCUCUCAUAUUUCCACUUUGAAGUUUCACUAAUCAUAAUUUGGUUCCAUUUUUGCCUAAUCCCAUGUCAUUUUCUCUAUUUUUAACAACGGGAAAAAUCGGACUGAUGAUACAAACCUAUACACCAGAGACAACCAAUUUUGCCAAAAAGAAAAGCUGCCUACUCCAUUCGAUUGUAAAGUUUGUGCUUUAUGUUUGUAAAGCUGUUUUUCCAUCAAUUUCAUAGCAAAAUUUGUGCUUUAUGUUUCUCUCUAUACACAGAAAUAAAUUGUGGGUUCCAGUUAGCUCAACUGGUAAAGUCUUUGAUGGUUGUAUAAGAGAUCUGGGGUUCAAUCAUCGCCUACACCAAAAACUGAUUGGUGUCUUGGUCUGAUGAUAAAAAACUAUCAUUAGGAGCGGACACCAUAGGUUGAAACUCUCUAUAAAAAUAAAUAAAUAAAUGAUCCUACCUGUAGAAAGAAUUAAAAGAACCAUACAAAUUAUAAUGUUCUAGAAGAAUAUAUCAAUUGUUGUUGUUUUUGUUUCCGGUAAUGGUGGUGGUGAUGUGGUUGGUCAUGGGGUUUGUACUCUUCCUCUUUUUUAUUUUUUUGGUUUAAACAAAUUUUUUGGAAGUGCUAAUUUGUUAUAUUCGAUUUGCAGCCACCAAGCUGAGCUAUUUGAUUCAAAAGUAGGGACUAAUCUUUUGGAUAUCAUCCUCACAAAGAUAGAGAAGGUGUUCUUGAUUCUGCCCAAAGUUUUCCUCAUGGACAACCAAGAUUAAGCAUGUAGAUGAUAAUGUUGGCUCCUUGAAAGUAAAGCUCACUGCAGAGGACUUGAAAGAGAUUACAGAUGCUGUGGCCAUCAAUGAGGUGGCUGGUGCUAGAAUCCAUGCAGGGAUAGAAUUGUACUCUUGGAGGUUUGUAAACACACCUUCAAAGAGUGACAAUGCAUCAGAACAAGACUCAUGAUUUAUUCAGUUGAGCUUGACUGGCUUAAUGUUCUUAUAAUUAUAAAACUACUUUUUAGGAAGGAGAUUAAUGGUGUUACGGUGUAGGUGCCAAUUCAUGAAGGUCUUAUGGCUUAACACUACAGAUACUUGAGAGCCUAAACCUUUGACAGAGUAUAAAGUGUGGAUCAGCAAAUGAGAUUAAGAGUAUAAAAAGUCGAGAGAAAGAUCAUUGUUUAUAAAUUCUUUAUGAUGUUUUGAAUUUUGAUAAUGUUCAAUGUUUUGAUGGCAUUGAAAAGUACAUUGUUUCAUGACAUAGAAUAUAUGUGUUUUCUUUAAUUAGGAUUU